ACGUCGUGAGACAGUUCGGUUCCUAUCUACCGUUGGUGUUAAAGGGAGAACCGCGAGGAGCCACCCCUAGUACGAGAGG
rnacentral:rRNA from 1 species